UAUGAUGAUAAUGAUGAUGAAGAUGAUGAUUAUGGAGCGUUGAAGAUAAGGUUCCAGGCUUUAAGGCCACUUGGCCAGUGAGAGUUUGUGUUUGUGGUAUAUGUUUGGCCUUUCCAUAACUCUUUUUUCUUUUCUUCUUCACCAACCAUUCAUGUCAACUUACAAACCCAACACUUUUGUCUGCAUUUACAACACAAACUUAGUAUUUUUAUUGCAACCUACGUAAUCAUUUACUACACUUUGUGUGUUGUUGCCUCUCUUAACCUAGCAUCCAUUUCUCUAUCAU
rnacentral:lncRNA from 1 species